UGUACAUAUAUGUAAACAUAUAUGCUAUAUAUACACAUUUCUUAAUUUCUGUACGGCAUAUGGUAUUUAAAGCAAAAAUUCUACCAUUAUAUUGUGGUACUUAUAAUACGGACAGAUGGAUAUUUGUGGGAGAGAGAGAGGGAGAGACCAGGGAGAGGAUGCCCAUGUGAUGAUGGAGGCAGAGAUGGGAGUGAUGCAUCUAUAAGCCAAGGAGGGCCAAGAACAGCUGGCAAACACCAGAGGCUGAAAGAGACGAGGAAGGAUUCCUCUAUAGGUUUCUAUAUCAGUUCCUUCUCAUGCUACUAAUGAAAGACAUACCUGAGACUGGGAAAUUUAUAAGGGA
rnacentral:lncRNA from 10 species